UACGUAGGGGGCAAGCGUUGUCCGGAUUUAUUGGGCGUAAAGCGCUCGCAGGUGGUCCGUCUUGUCGUGCGUGAAAGGCCCCGGCUCAACUGGGGAGGGUCGUGCGAAACGGGCGGACUGGAGGCCAGUAGGGGGAUGCGGAAUUCCGGGUGUAGUGGUGGAAUGCGUAGAGAUCCGGAGGAACACCAGCGGCGAAGGCGGCAUCCUGGACUGGUCCUGACACUCAGGAGCGAAAGCGUGGGGAGCGAUCCGGAUUAGAUACCCCCGUAGUCC
rnacentral:rRNA from 1 species